rnacentral:rRNA from 1 species
CGGAGGGGGCUAGCGUUGUUCGGAAUUACUGGGCGUAAAGCGCACGUAGGCGGACUGGAAAGUUGGGGGGUGAAAUCCCGGGGGCUCAACCCCGGAACUGCCUUCAAAACUAUCGGUCUGGAGUUCGAGAGAGGUGAGUGGAAUUCCGAGUGUAGAGGUGAAAUUCGUAGAUAUUCGGAGGAACACCAGUGGCGAAGGCGGCUCACUGGCUCGAUACUGACGCUGAGGUGCGAAAGCGUGGGGAGCAAACAGGAUU